UUCAAGUUUGCCAAAUCAAUUCUACUCAAGACAGCCACGCAGGCAGUCAAACGUAAGGACGCAGUUGGUCCAAAGUGGUGUACCAAGUCAACUAGCAACUGAAAUACAAAAAAUGAAUGGCAGUGACCCAAGAAAGACCUCGACAAGUAGCUGCCCAAGUGCUUUAAAAUAUUCCUUUUUCUGAUGUUAAGCAGGCGCUAAAAUGACAAAAAUCCGGUUUGGCGCAGAAACUACAGGUCUACUAACUUAAAAUAUGACGCAUUAUGCGCCGCAGGAUUACUUCUAUAAUAACA
rnacentral:sRNA from 1 species